ensembl:snRNA U6 U6 spliceosomal RNA
UUGCUCACUUCAGCAGCAAAUAUACUAAAAUUGGAAUGAUACAGAGAAGAUUAGCAUGGCCCCUGUGCAAGGAUGACACACAAAUUCAUGACGCAUUUUU